rnacentral:rRNA from 1 species
GACGAACCGUGCGAACGUUAUUCGGAAUCACUGGGCUUAAAGCGCGUGUAGGCGGGCGGGUACGUCGGCGACUGAAAGCCCCCGGCUCAACCGGGGAAGGGGUGCCGAAACGGCCGGCCUGGAGGGGCGUAGGGGGACCUGGAAUUCCCAGUGUAGAGGUGAAAUUCGUAGAUAUUGGGAAGAACACCGGUGGCGAAGGCGGCUCACUGGUCCGAUACUGACGCUGAGGUGCGAAAGCGUGGGGAGCAAACAGG